UCACUGCAACCUCCGCUUCCCAGGUUCACACGAUUCUCCUGUCUCAGCCUCCAGAGCAGCUGGAAUUACAGGUUCUACUCCUGAGUGCUCCCUUCAGCCUACUCCACGAAGUGAUGACAACUUUAAUUAAUAUUCCCUCUCCAAAUCCCUUCAACAUUUACCUGAUGCUGGGUUGUAAUCCAUCAGUUUGUCUGGAAUGUGACAUGGAGAUACGGAGUCCUGGAAGACUGACCUGGGGCCCAAACAUGAUCCUCAAACCAGUUUGUUGUUUGAAUUUCUUCUCAGCCCUCUUUAACAUCAACCCAGCUCUCUCUGACCUACUGAAGGGUCAACCUCAAGAAACCAACUCCAACUGAUGGCCAUCCAUAGAAUACAUAGCUCUUCAGGGAGCUUUCAUGCCAUUACUGCCUCACUCUCAUACUUCCGUUUAAGCCUCCGAGAUUCAAAAUAAUUAGCCUCUACUGCUGCCAACAUGUCCAGGGAAAAAUAACCAGAGGGACUAGAAAAUGAGUAUGCCACAGAAGAAAUCAAGAAAAUGUUUCUAACAAAAUACAAACUUUGGGCAUGUAAGUUUGGAGAGUCAUCUAAGAAGAAAGAAAAUUAAUUCAAGCAAGACUAAAUCUCAUGGUUGCCAAGAUGAUUUUUUUCAUUAUACUUUAAGUUCUGGGAUACAUGUGCAGAACAUGCAGGUUUGUUACAUAGGUACACACAUGCCAUGGUGGUUUGCUGCACCCAUCAACCCGUCAUCUACAUUAGGUGUUUCUCCUAAUGCACCCCACCCUCUAACAGGCCCCAAUGUAUGAUGUUCCCCUCACUGUGUCCAUGUGUUCUCAUUGUUCAACUCCCAUUUAUGAGUGAGAAUAAGGAGUGUUUGGUUUGCUGUUCCUGUGUUAGUUAAUGAGACUCAUGGCUUCCAGCAUAAUCCAUGUCCCUGCAAAGAACAUAAACUCAUUCUUUUUUAUGGCAGCAUAGUAUCCCAUGGUGUAUAUGUGCCACAUUUUCCUUAUCCAGUCUAUCACUGAUGGGCAUUUGGGUUCCAAGUCUUUGCUAUUGUAAAUAGUGCUGCAAUAAACAUAUAUGUGCGUGUGUCUUUAUAGUGGAAUGUUUUAUAAUCCUUUGGGUAUAUAUCCAGUAAUGGGAUUUCUAGGUCAAAUGGUAUUUCUGGUUCUAGAUCCUUCAGAAAUCACCACACUGUCUUCCACAAUGGUUGAACUAAUUUACAUACCCACCAACAGUGUAAAAGCAUUCCUAUUUCUCCACAUCCUCUCCAGCCUCUCUUGUUUCCUGACUUUUUAAUGAUCACCAUUCUAACUGGCAUGAGAUGGUAUCUCAUUGUAGUUUUGAUUUGCAUUUCUCUAAUGACCAAUGAUGAUGAGCUUCAUUUCAUAUGUUUGUUGACCACAUAAAUGCCUUCAUGCCUUCUUUUGAGAGGUGUCUGUUCAUAUUCUUCACCCACUUUUUGAUGGGGUUGUUUUUUUUCUUGUAAAUUUGUUUAAGUUAUUUGUAGAUUCUGGAUAUUAGUCCUUUGUCAGAUGGAUAGAUUGCAAAAAUUUUCUUCCAUUCCGUAGGUUAACUGUUCACUCUGAUGAUAGUUUCUUUUGUUGUGCAGAAGCUCUUUAGUUUAAUUAGAUCCUAUUUGUCUAUUUUGGCUUUUGUUGCCAUUGCUUUUGGUGUUUUAGUCAUGAUGUCUUUGACCAUGCCUAUGUCAUGAAUGGUAUUGUCUAUGUUAUCUUCUAGAGUUUUUAUGAUAUUGGGUCUUACAUUUAAAUCUUAAUCCAUCUUGAGUUAAUUUUUUUAUAAGGUGUAAGGAAGGGGUCCAGUUUCCGUUUUCUGCAUAUGGCUAGCCAGUUUUCCCAAAACCAUUUAUUAAAUAUGAAAUCCCUUCCCCAUUGCUUGUUUUUGUCAGGUUUGUCAAAGAUCUGAUGGUUGUAGAUGUGUGGCAUUAUUUCUGAGGCCUCUGUUCUGUUCUAUUGGUCUAUAUAUCUGUUUUGGUAUCAGUACCAUGCUGUUUUGGUUACUGUAUCCUUGUAGUAUAGUUUGAAGUCAGGUAACAUGAUGCCUCCAGCUUUGUUAUUUUUGCUUAUGAUUGUCUUGGCUAUACGGGCUCUUUUUUGGUUUCAUAUGAAAUUUAAAGUAGUUUUUUUCUAAUUCUGUGAAGAAAGUCAAUAGUAACUUGAUGGGGAUAGCAUUGAAUCUCUAAAUUACUUCAGGCAGUAUGUCCAUUUUCACGAUAUUGAUUAUUCCCAUCCAUGAGCAUGGAAUGUUUUUUCAUUUGUUUGUGUCCUCUCUUAUUUCCUUGAGCCGUGGUUUGGAGUUCUCCUUGAAGAGGUCCUUCACAUUCCUUGUAAGUUGUAUUCCUAGGUAUUUUAUUCUCUUUGUAACAAUUGUGAAUGGGAGUUUACUCAUGAUUUGGCUGUUUGUCUAUUAUUGGUGUAUAGGAAUGCUUGUGAUUUUUGCAAAUUGAUUUUGUAUCCUAAGACUUUGCUGAAGUUGCUUUUCAGCUUAAGGAGAUUUAGGUCUGAGACGAUGGGGUUUUCUAAAUAUACAAUCAUGUCAUCUGCAAACAGAGACAAUUUGACUUCCUGCCUUCCUAUUUGAAUACACUUUAUUUCUUUCUCUUGCCUGAUUGCCCUGACCAGAACUUCCAAUACUAUGUUGAAUAGGAGUGGUGAGAGAGGGCAUUCUUGUCUUGUGCUGGUUUUCAAAGAGACUGCUUCCAGCUUUUGCCCAUUCAGUAUGAUAUUAGCUUUGGGUUUGUCAUAAAUAGCUCUUAUUAUUUUGAGACACGUUCCGUCAAUACCUAGUUUAUUGAGAGUUUUUAGCAUGAAGAGGUGUUGAAUUUUAUUGAAGGCCUUUAAAAUAAACAACCUGACAUCACAAUUAAAAGAACUAGAGAAGAAAGAUCAAACAAAUUCAAAAGCUAGCAGAAGACAAGAAAUAACAGAUCAGAGCAGAGAUGAAGGAGAUAGAGACACAAGAAACCGUUCAAAAAAUCAAUGAAUCCAGGAGCUGGUUUUUUGAAAAGCUUAACAAAAUAGACCACUAACUGGACUAAUAAAGAAGAAAACAGAGAAGAAUCAAAUAGACACGACAAAAAAUGAUAAGGGGGAUAUCACCACUGAUCUUACAGAAAUACAAACUACCAUCAGAGGAUACUAUAAAUAACUCUAUGCAAAUAAACUAGAAAAUUUAGAAGAAAUGGAUAAAUUCCUGGACACAUACAUCCUCCCAAGACUAAACCAGGAAGAAAUCUAAUCCCUGAAUAGACCAAUAACAAGUUCUGAAAUUCAGGCAGUAAUUAAUAGCCUACCAACCAAAAAAGAAGCCCAGGAUCAGACAGAUUCACAGCCGAAUUCUACCAGAGGUACAAAGAGGAGCUGGUACUAUUCCUUCUGAAACUAUUCCAAACAAUAGAAAAAGUCGGAAUCUUCCCUAACUCAUUUUGUGAGGCCAGCAUCAUCCUGAUACCAAAACCUGGCAGAGACACAACAAAAAAAGAAAAUUUCAGGCCAAUAUCCCUGAUGACAUCGAUGUGAAAAUCCUCAAUAAAAUACUGGCAAACCGAAUCCAGCAGCACAUCAAAAAGCUUAUCCACCAUAAUCAAAUCGACUUCAUCCCUGGGAUGAAAGGCUGGUUCAACAUACACAAAUCAAUAAACGUAAUCCGUCACUUAAACAGAGCCAAUGUCAAGGUGAUUUUUUAAAUAUGGAUUAUGAAAUAGGUAAAUUUUUCCUUCACAUGUACUUAUUAUUCUGAUAAAGAUAUGACAACUUCAUGCACUCGUUAAAAUAAUGUAAGUUUAAAAUAUGAUUUUUUUUUCCUAUUUCUUCCUAUAGUGUUUCCUCAUUCUCACUUAAUGUAUUGUAUAAGAUACUUCACAAACAUAAGACAUAUUGAUUCAUUGGAUAACAUUGUCACUAUAUAAAUUAGGAAAAUACAUUUUCAUUAUUCAUAUUUAGCUGAUGACAAUUCCAAAACUGAGAAAAUCAAAGUUUCUCAAGAUUACAGACAGGUAGACUAGGAACACAAACCAAUGCUUCCAAAUUUGAUCUAGUUUUUCCUCCUCCAAGUUAUUGAGCAUAACUAAUCUAGGCCCCUCAGAGUGAAGGUUGAAAUUGUAAUUCAACAUAUAUUCUGGCCCACUAUCUCCAUUAUAUUAGCCUUUUUUUUCUGUUACAAUCUUUCUGGAAUAGUAGGAAAAAUAAUAGACAUGAAAAUGCUAAGACUGUGUAUAAAUACUUAAUCGUCUUCUUGGACAGAUAAGCUUAAAUACCAGACUUUGCAUUUCUUUAUUUUAAAAAGUAUACUUAUCAAAACCACUAAAUUAACUUGCUCUCAAAUAAAUAAUACGAAGCAAGGUUUUUGAAAGCAUUUCAUAUCAGGCUUCAGAAAUGAACCCAAAUGUGUAUGGAGAUUUACUUUAUCAUGAAGGAGUAAUUUCAUAUCAUUACGUAAAGGCAGAACGUUUCAAUGGAGUGUGUGUGUGCUAACUGAUUUAAAAUCAGGAAAAAAAUAAAUAAAUUCCUAUCUUUAAUUUCAAAACAAUAAAAAUUUAAAUGUAGAAAUAUUAGGCAAAAGACCUAAGAUCACUUAAAGGCCUUAAAUUAUUGAUGUAUUUGAUACAUAAAAGUAUUCACUUGACACAAAUUUGCACAUAUUCAUUCAGAAGUGGGUGUACAAAGACCUUUGUUGCAGUGUUGUUUGCAUUAGCAAAAAGCUACACAUCUCAUAAAUGACUACCAGUCCUGAAGUUGUUAAACACAUCUUCAUAAUGUAAUAUUUUGCAUUUAUUAAAAAUAGCGAGGCAAGUCUGUAGUUAGAGAAUUGAUAUAUUUAAGGAGAAAAAAGUUACAAGAUGGUAUUUAUAAGAUGACACAGGAUGUUAUCUCUCUACUAACCUAUCAAUAUGCAUAUAUAAAUAAAUGUAUCUAUUAAAACACAUGAACACAUACACAACUACCCCACAUACACUAAUAUGUGUAAAGAAUAUCUUCAGAAAAGUGAAAAAUGGCAAAUAGUGAGAUGGAGUAAGGAGUGGAAGAGGGAUGUGUUUGCACCAUAAAUAUCUUUAUUGGGUAUAUUUCUUGUCAUAUUUUUUACAUUUUUUGAAUUUGUAACAAUAAUGAGCACAAAACAACAGCAUUAUGAUGACCUUCCUGGGAAGUUUCCUGAGGAGGGCAUGUAGAGCAUAAUUCCAUUAUGAAAAAAAUGUGCUUAGAGUAUGAAAUGAAAUAAACCAACAUCUUACCUAAUCAGAUUAUCUUCAAUAUUCAUCUCUUUAUUUUUAAAAUUUUAUGGUUUUAUUUUUUUUAUUGAUAUAAAUGGUUUCUUUAUUUGUAGAAUUACACUUAAAAUUAUUUUGAAGCAGCAUGAACUCUCUCUGGAUGGUAUUAGAAUUUCAUACCCAAAUAAACUUGAACAUUACUUUUUUAAAAUUUUAUUAUUAUUAUACUUUAAGUUUUAGAGUACAUGUGCACAACGUGCAGGUUUGUUACAUAUGUCUACAUGUGCCAUGUUGGUGUGCUGCACCCAUUAACUAAUCAUUUAGCAAUAGGUAUAUCUCCUAAUGCUAUCCCUGCC
rnacentral:lncRNA from 1 species